AACGUAGGUACCGAGCGUUAUCCGGAUUUACUGGGCGUAAAGCGCGUUCAGGCGGUUUGGCAAGUCGGACAUGAAAUCUCUCGGCUCAACCGGGAGAGGUUGUCCGAUACUGCUGGACUUGAGGGCAGUAGAGGGUGGUGGAAUUCCGGGUGUAGUGGUGAAAUGCGUAGAUAUCCGGAGGAACACCGGUGGCGAAGGCGGGUCUCUGGGGCAGUAACUGACGCUGAGGAGCGAAAGCUAGGGGAGCAAACGGG
rnacentral:rRNA from 1 species